GACAGAGGGUGCUAGCGUUGUUCGGAAUUACUGGGCGUAAAGGGCGCGUAGGCGGUCUGUUAAGUUCGGUGUGAAAUCCCCUGGCUCAACUGGGGAACUGCGCUGGAAACUGGCAGACUCGAGUACCGGAGAGGAGAGUGGAAUUCCUGGUGUAGCGGUGAAAUGCGCAGAUAUCGGGAGGAACACCGGUGGCGAAGGCGGUUCUCUGGGCCUUACCUGACGCUGAGGAGCGAAAGCGUGGGGAGCGAACAGG
rnacentral:rRNA from 1 species